GUGGAUCCACACUGUCCAACCAUUUUGACAGCUCAUUCUAGGGCAUGAUUCCAAAAACGAAGUUGACUCAAAUCUUAGGUGGAACACACCACAAGAAACAGUCGUGAUCGAAUCCCCACCAUUAAUAGAUUCUACUGGAAUGUUUAUUUUCCAUCCCAGCUCAUUCUAGGGCAUGAUUCCAAAAACGAAGUUGACUCAAAUCUUAGGUGGAACACACCACAAGAAAUGGUCCUGAUCGAAACCCCACCAUUAAUAGAUUCUACCGGAAUGUUUAUUUUCCAUCCCAUCCGACCUGUUAAUAAGGUCACAAAGACCCAGCACCUAAAUGAAGAGAUUCCCAUCCAACCAUUUAAUAAUAAGGUCACAAAGACCUAGCACCUAGAUGAAGAGACCGCACAAAUAUCGUCUUGAUCCAAAGCUUUUGUUGCCCACAAGUUUUUAAUUAUCAAUUACCAUUGUUUCCUGUACCAUGGUCCAUCUAAGAUUUAAUUGUCACUUACCGCUGUUUCACGUACUAUGGUCCAUCUGGAGAAACUUGUAUCUGCUUCAUUUUUUGGAUCAUGCCCUUAAAUGAGCUUUCAAUACGGAUGAAUGGCAUGACUGUAAUCCCACACAUAAUGGUGGGCCCCACAGUCAGGGGUGCCACCCAUCUCACUGGAUCCUCUUAUCCACCAAAAGCUGCGCCUGAAUCCGCCACAGGGCAGACUAGGUUCUGAUUUGGUGAACCAGGCAUGGUUAGCUUUUUCUUCUUUUUUUUUCCCCUUUGUUGUAUUACUCCAUAUUUCAAAUAUUUAUUAUAGAUUUAAAUACUACUUAAUUAUCAAAUACCGAAUCGAGUCUUCGAGUCAACCCACCCAUUUGGCAAACGAGUCGAAUCAGGUUCAGGAUUUUGAACGACAUAUAGCACAUGUACUUAAGUGAUUACUCCUGUAAGUUAUAAAUUUCAUUCAUCAACAGUCAUACGACCAGUUAAAAACAACAAACGACCCAUGUUCUCUAAAAGGGUUCUAUAAAUCAGGGUACACUCCCAUUAAGGGACCCACUUGGGGGGGGGGGGGGGGGGCGCGGAUACGUCUAAAAAAAUUACAUAGUUUCUCAGCAGCAUGAGGCAUUGCAUUAUGUUCAUAAUUCAUAAUGAAUACAUGAAGAGAAGCCAGAACGGUUCUCUCAAUUCCUACUUUUAACUCUUCAUUCACUGUCUUCCCUGUCCAACCGAUCAUCAUGCCAACCAUAUGUCCCAGAAUUCAGCAAUAACGGGGCUAUCCCAACCCUUGGAUCAGAGGACUUACCAAAAAAAAUAAAAA